GGACCCUUAGCUCAGUGGUAGAGCAGCUGACUCUUAAUCAGCAGGCCCUCGGUUCGACCCCGAGAGGGUUCUCCA
rnacentral:tRNA from 2 species